CAGUCUGUUUUUCCUCUCUUUGACCUUUGACCCUGGAACAUUCCUGCAGACCACUCCAUGAUCCCCAGCCGCUCCACCUCUGCUGUCAGCUGUUGGUUCCCUUGGCAACAACUGCUCCCAGCUGGACAGAACCCAGACAGAACCGCGUUCGGGUCGGCCCAGAUUCAGCUGACUUCAUGCAGAAAUAACCUGAUUAUGAGCUCCGUUCCAGCAGACUGGCCCUCAGAUUCCUGAUCCUGUAAGCAGCAGAAACUGACGGAUCAUUAAUCAGAUUCCUGCUCUGAGCCGAGAUCCACCUGCAGAGCCAAAGUUCAGCGCUUUGUUCAGGUUCAGUAUUUACUUAAAACUGGAUCAUGGAGGGUUUCAGAGCCGCCGGCUGGUUUUCAUGGUAAACACACAGAGAAUCUGGAGCAGCACUCACCUUCUUCCCAUAAGAAGCUCCCAUUAUUCCCAGCAGGAGCGACGCUCCUUCUCUGAUCCUUCCUGAUCUGCAGCCAGACAGACGGAGCGCUGGGUUCGGUUAGCCCACCAGCGAGUCAGGCGGACCACUGAACUUCAUCCCAACCGGCAGCAGAGCAGAGAUCAGCCGGACUGAGCAAGGAGAGAGUGAGGAGGAGGAGCAGCCACCUGUUCCUGUCUGACUCUCAGCUGUGAGGAGUUAAAGUGGGAUUACGGUAAUCCCAGCAGACAGGAAGCCAGAGAGCAGAAGGUUCCUCAUAUCUCCUCCAACCAAGAUGGAGCCGGGAUUCUUCAUCCCAGCAGGUCCGAGUUUCCCUUCAUCCACGGCUCUGGGAUAUACUGGAGGAACUGGGAGGCCAACUGGUUUCAUCCAAUGAAGGAGACGGGACGCCUGGAGGACCGGAGAGGAAACAUGGAGCUGCACUGCAAAACCUAAAUCUGACCAAGGAUUUCUGUCUCAGAAAUUUUUCAACUUCAAAAAUCUUAUUGCCUUUUAAAUCAGACAAAACUAACUUACAGAAAUGUACCUGCUCAGACCUUCAGCACUGCAAAAA